GACGAACGCUGGCGGCAUGCCUAAUACAUGCAAGUCGAGCGAACAGAUGAAGUGCUUGCACUUCUGACGUUAGCGGCGAACGGGUGAGUAACACGUAAGGAAUCUACCUAUAAGCGGGGGAUAACAUUCGGAAACGGGUGCUAAUACCGCAUAAUAUCUUCUUCCGCAUGGAAGAAGAUUGAAAGACGGCUCUGCUGUCACUUAUAGAUGACCUUGCGGUGCAUUAGUUAGUUGGUGGGGUAAUGGCCUACCAAGACGAUGAUGCAUAGCCGGCCUGAGCGGGUGCUCGGCCACAUUGGGACUGAGACACGGCCCAAACUCAUACGGGAGGCAGCAGUAGGGAAUCUGCCGCAAUGGGCGAAAGCCUGACGGAGCAAUGCCGCGUGAGUGUAGAAGGCCUUCGGGUCGUAAAACUCUGUUAUAAGAGAAGAACAAAUUGUAUAGUAACUGCUACAGUCUUGACGGUAUCUUAUCAGAAAGCCACGGCUGACUACGUGCCAGCAGCCGCGGUAA
rnacentral:rRNA from 1 species